rnacentral:rRNA from 1 species
UGGGGAAUAUUGCACAAUGGAGGGAACUCUGAUGCAGCGACGCCGCGUGAACGAAGAAGGCUUUCGAGUCGUAAAGUUCUUUUAUAUGGGAAGAUAAUGACGGUACCAUAAGAAAAAGCCCCGGCUAACUACGUGCCAGCAGCCGCGGUAAUACGUAGGGGGCUAGCGUUGUCCGGAAUCACUGGGCGUAAAGGGUUCGCAGGCGGAAAUGCAAGUCAGGUGUAAAAGGCAGUAGCUUAACUACUGUAAGCAUUUGAAACUGCAUAUCUUGAGAAGAGUAGAGGUAAGUGGAAUUUUUGGUGUAGCGGUGAAAUGCGUAGAUAUUAAAAAGAAUACCGGUGACGAAGGCGACUUACUGGGCUCAUUCUGACGCUGAGGAACGAAAGCGUGGGUAGCAAACAGG